ACUUCCUUCUCCUCAGAGCCGUAUCCGGGUCGCUGCUUUCUCUAUUGUUUGGGGCAGGCGGCCUCGCGCUGUGCAAUUUCUGGGUCUUUUGUUGCUCUUGGUGCAGGCUAAUAAAGUUUUUCUUUCUUUAAUUUUUUUCUUCUAGUUUUAACGGGAGAAAUUAACUCUCCAGAGCCGCCGGGGAUUGGCCGCGCUGCCUGGGCCGGAGAGCUUCUCCGGCCGGGAAGCGCCUUAGGAAGGGGCUCGAGCGACCAGGGCCUGGCGUGGCCUGGGGGUGGGCGGGGGGCUUAGGGGACGGCGGGGCUACUCUUGGGAGCACCCUUGUCCCGCUGGCGGCGCGCCGGUUUUAAAUAGCAUCUUUCGGACCUGUCUCCGCGGCCCCAGUCCCCGACCUCGGCGCUGCCUGGGCUCCAGCAGCCUCUCCCUAAGUCUCCAAACGACCACCUCACGGAUUCCUUAUGGAUCGCAGCUCCAAGAGGAGGCAGGUGAAGCCUUUGGCAGCUUCUCUGCUGGAAGCUCUCGAUUAUGAUAGUUCAGAUGACAGUGAUUUUAAAGUUGGAGAUGCCUCAGAUUCUGAAGGGAGUGGUAAUGGAAGUGAAGAUGCUUCAAAGGACAGUGGAGAAGGUUCCUGUAGUGAUUCUGAAGAAAAUAUUUUAGAAGAAGAACUGAAUGAAGAUAUUAAAGUAAAAGAAGAACAACUUAAAAAUUCUGCAGAGGAAGAAGUACUAUCAUCAGAAAAACAAUUAAUUAAAAUGGAAAAGAAGGAAGAAGAAGAAAAUGGAGAAAGACCUAGAAAGAAAAAGGAGAAAGAGAAGGAAAAAGAAAAGGAAAAGGAGAAAGAGAAGGAGAAAGAGAAGGAAAGAGAGAAGGAAAAAGAAAAAGCAACAGUAUCUGAGAAUGUGGCUGCUUCUGCUGCUGCCACCACACUAGCCACAAGUCCUCCUGCUGUUAACACAUCCCCUUCUGUUCCUACUACAACAGCUGCUACAGAGGAACAAGUCAGCGAGCCAAAAAAAUGGAACCUUCGACGAAACCGACCGCUUCUGGAUUUUGUGUCCAUGGAAGAACUGAAUGACAUGGAUGACUAUGACAGUGAGGAUGACAAUGAUUGGCGACCUACUGUAGUGAAGAGAAAAGGGAGAUCUGCAUCUCAGAAAGAGGGAAGUGAUGGAGACAAUGAGGAUGAUGAAGAUGAGGGAAGUGGGAGUGAUGAAGAUGAGAAUGAUGAAGGCAAUGAUGAAGAUCAUAGUAGCCCUGCCAGUGAAGGGGGUUGCAAGAAGAAGAAGAGUAAAGUUCUUAGCAGAAACAGUGCUGAUGAUGAGGAACUGACCAAUGAUAGCCUGACCUUAUCUCAAAGCAAGAGUAAUGAGGACUCGCUGAUUCUUGAGAAGAGUCAAAACUGGAGUUCUCAAAAAAUGGACCAUAUUCUGAUUUGCUGUGUUUGUCUGGGAGAUAAUAGUGAGGAUGCUGAUGAAAUAAUUCAGUGUGACAAUUGUGGCAUUACAGUCCAUGAAGGUUGUUAUGGAGUUGAUGGAGAGAGUGACUCUAUUAUGAGUUCAGCUUCUGAAAACUCCACUGAACCUUGGUUUUGUGAUGCCUGUAAAUGUGGUGUUUCUCCUAGCUGUGAACUAUGUCCUAACCAGGAUGGAAUUUUCAAGGAGACAGAUGCUGGAAGAUGGGUUCAUAUUGUUUGUGCCCUGUAUGUUCCUGGGGUAGCUUUUGGAGAUAUUGACAAAUUACGACCAGUAACACUAACAGAAAUGAACUAUUCCAAAUACGGUGCCAAGGAGUGUAGCUUUUGUGAAGACCCUCGCUUUGCUAGAACUGGAGUUUGCAUUAGCUGUGAUGCAGGGAUGUGCAGAGCCUAUUUCCAUGUGACCUGUGCUCAGAAGGAAGGCCUGCUUUCAGAGGCAGCAGCAGAAGAGGACAUAGCAGAUCCGUUCUUUGCUUAUUGUAAACAACAUGCAGAUAGAUUAGACAGAAAGUGGAAGAGAAAAAACUACUUGGCUCUACAAUCCUAUUGUAAAAUGUCUUUGCAAGAGAGAGAGAAGCAACUAUCACCAGAAGCACAGGCAAGGAUCAAUGCCCGACUUCAGCAGUAUCGUGCCAAAGCGGAGCUAGCUCGAUCCACCAGACCCCAGGCCUGGGUUCCAAGGGAAAAAUUGCCCAGACCACUCACCAGCAGUGCUUCAGCUAUUCGUAAACUUAUGCGGAAAGCAGAACUGAUGGGGAUCAGUACAGAUAUCUUUCCAGUGGACAAUUCAGAUACUAGUUCUAGUGUGGAUGGAAGGAGAAAACAUAAGCAACCAGCUCUCACUGCAGAUUUUGUGAAUUAUUAUUUUGAGAGAAAUAUGCGCAUGAUUCAAAUUCAGGAAAAUAUGGCUGAACAAAAAAAUAUAAAAGAUAAAUUAGAGAAUGAGCAAGAAAAGCUUCAUGUGGAAUAUAAUAAGUUAUGCGAAUCUUUAGAAGAACUUCAAAACCUGAAUGGAAAACUUCGAAGUGAAGGACAAGGAAUAUGGGCCUUACUAGGCAGAAUCACAGGGCAGAAGUUGAAUAUACCGGCAAUUUUGCGAGCACCCAAGGAGAGAAAACCAAGUAAAAAAGAAGGAGGCACACAAAAGACAUCUACUCUUCCUGCAGUACUUUAUAGUUGUGGGAUUUGUAAGAAGAACCAUGAUCAGCAUCUUCUUUUAUUGUGUGAUACCUGUAAACUACAUUACCACCUUGGAUGUCUGGAUCCUCCUCUUACAAGGAUGCCAAGAAAGACCAAAAACAGUUACUGGCAGUGCUCAGAAUGUGACCAGGCAGGGAGCAGUGACAUGGAAGCAGAUAUGGCCAUGGAAACCUUACCAGAUGGAACCAAACGAUCAAGGAGGCAGAUUAAGGAACCAGUGAAAUUUGUUCCACAGGAUGUGCCACCAGAACCCAAGAAGAUUCCAAUAAGAAACACGAGAACCAGAGGACGAAAACGAAGCUUCGUUCCUGAGGAAGAAAAACAUGAGGAAAGAGUUCCUAGAGAGAGAAGGCAAAGACAGUCUGUGCUGCAAAAGAAGCCCAAGGCUGAAGAUUUAAGAACUGAAUGUGCAACUUGCAAGGGAACUGGAGACAAUGAAAAUCUUGUCAGAUACCCUUCAUGAGACCCAACUCUGCCACAGCUCAUCCACGGAGGCAAUCCCGGAAACCUCUUUUAUAAGUGUGAUUUUAAAAAUGUGGAUUAAACUCUCAAUAGAGUACAUAAAGUAAAGGAGAACAGCUAUCUUGUCCUUUCUAUAAGCUUAUCACUGCAAAAAGUUGCCUUUUGCUUGUCAGGUUUGGAUAGCAUAUAAUUGAUUGGUUUGUUACUUGGACUAACAAGGCAAUAGAUUUGCCUAUGUGGAUUUUUUUUCCUAUUUUUCUUCUUUUUUUGCACUAAUCAGAAACAUUUGAUAUGUGCAUUGUUGAAAAAAACUGGAUACAUGUCUUAUCAGAAUUGUCCUAUAAAGUAAUGUCUUUCCCUCUUGCUUCUUUGGCAAAUGAUGAUACACAGUGUUUGGACGUACUCAAGAGUUACUAAAGCCUGUGGGACUUAAUAAAUACAAUAUGCUACUCCCUGUUGUUGAACAAUACAAGUAACAAACAAGAAAGACAAUGUAUUCCAUUAAUCUGCUAUUCUGUUUCCUUCAACUUAAUACAUAGAUUCAUAUAUGAAGUGCUGCAUUGUAAAACAACUAUAGACUCUUAUAUUGGACGUUAUUUCUAUUUAUAGUAUUCAGCAAAAGUGAAAGACUUGUGAAACAUAUGACAUUCUAUUUUUGACUUAUUAGUCCUAGUGUGAAAUCAUUAAUAAUAUUAGCAUGAAAUUUUUACAAUUUCAGAGUUUAAGCUCAUGAAUAAAAAUACAUCUGUAUUGAUCUCUAGAUAUUUUCUAGUAAUCCCCAAAUAUAUUCAGUCCUUAUUGUUUUAAUAUAAACUUUCUGUGUUCAGUAUAAUUUUAUUUUUCUCAACCUUAAAUAUGAACUUAGGAAAUAAGGAGGGAGAUACAAAGAUUAUUGACUAUACAACCCACCAGCCGAAAGAAAGAUCUUCAUCAACAUCAGUAUCUUUCCAGAGGUAUACUGAAUUAAAUUUGAUCUUCAAGCUUUAAUGAUCCAAUUUUAAGUCAACGGCAGAAAUAUGUUGAAUAUUUCAUCACUCAAUCUUGAACUGACUUAGAGACUCUUUGCUGAAAUUGAAAUGCACAUAUACAUGUAAAUUGUCAACAUGUAAUUUGGAAUUUUCUGAUUAAUAAAUGUGGUUUUGGACAUAUUUUUGGGUACAGUGACAGUGGAAAAUAGUUUAAACUUUAGGAAUAGAGUAGGUGAUGUUAAUUAUCAAAAGCAAUUGUAAUUGUAAAGCAGCUGUAAUCCAGUAAUCUCUAGUUACAGUGAGGAACCCUAUGAUUGGAUGAAAUGUUUGAUAAAAAUAAAAUGUGUAUGUAAUUACAUAUAAACAGAUUAUUAACUUACUGAAGGAUCUCCUAACAUUGGGGGAGAAAUAUUCAUACUCUUUAGCAAAACUAGUAGCCUUUUUUUUUUAAAGAAUAAGAUGGGACUAGUUAUCACUAUAUAAGCUGGAGGAAAUGUUGGUAAUUAUUACUUUUGCUGGACUCUGGCUGAUUUUAAGCGAAACAACAGAUUGCCAUUUUCUAAGUGAAAUAUACUAAUAUAUUAGACCAUGGCCCUUUUUAAAUAUUUAGUGAGAAAUUACUAGCAGUUGCUUUAUUUUAGGUUUUUUGAGAAAUUGUUAGGCCUUGUUUUGGUAUCACUGUUAAUCAAAAUCCUUUUCACUUUGAUUCUAAUUAGAAUACUGUAUUAUUCUCCAUCUUGUGUUUUUGGUGGUGGUGGAUAUGUUACUCCUCGUUUGAUGCUAGUGCUAGUGCUAGUCUUAAGAAUCUUUGUCACAUGUUUUACAUAAAAAUUGCAAAAUUCAUAAGAUACAGACCCUGCAAAAAGUAAGUUGAAAUAAGAGAACUUUUGAAGUAACUAGAAUAGAGUGCUUUCUCCUAAUAAUCUCUUAAAUGUGCUCAUAGCCACAGUAUAAAAUUAUUCCCUGUCCAUAAUUGGUCCAACUGCUAUAAGGAGAAAAUUGAUAUGUGCUUAAGAAAAUAUGUACUAAGUGAUUCAUAUUUCAUAGUCGAACAUAAGAGAAAAAGACACAUCAGUAAAUGAUGGUUGUUUAUCACACAGUAGGGAAAGGAAGAAACAUUAACAUACCAGGAAGGAAAUGAAUGUCUCUGAAAUACAAGAAGAAUGACAAUAGUAAGUAGUGGUUCUCAAACUUUGUGCAUCAGAAUCACAGGAAAAUUUGUUAAAACACAGGAGACUACCCUGUCCUCUCCUCAUCCUCCCUCCACCCACAUUAUUCCCUCCUCAUUCUCCCUGAGUUUCUGAUUUAGUAGAAAAUUUGCAGUUCUAGCAAAUUCCCAGGUGAUGGUGAUGCUGCUGGCGUGGAACACCACAUUAAGAACCAUUUUUAGGUAGUAUUUUUUUUUUUAAAUCAUUGUGUUGUGCUCAACAUUGAUUGACAAAGGAAUGUGCUUUUUAAAUCUCCCUAAAAGGGCCCUUAGAUUUCCUCUAGAUUCCUCUAAUUUAUUCUAGAAAUUGGUAAUUCCAUCUUCAACAUGUGCAUUUUUUUUAUUUUACAAAUUUAAAUAAAUGUUUGUUUUACACUGACUAUGAAAACAACAGUAUUUUAGAUACAGAAAGAAAUCAAUAAACAUAGCCUGUGUUCACAAUUCACUAAUCCUUUUGUUAUAAAGACUUGAAAUUAAGAUUAUGUUUGAACAUGAAAACAAAACUUAGCCUUUAUCUGAAGUUUAGAAAUUAUAUUUAUGCAUUUUUUACAGAUCAUUGUCAUUCAUUGUUGCUUGAGUGUUCAUCCGAUUUUAUAUUUAUGAUGUUAAAAAUAGACUGCUGACCAAUAAAUAAUAAAAAUAUUUACACUCUAUCCUAUUUCCCUGUAUUCACAUCCUAUUACUUAAUGAAAACCACUGUUUUUAAACAACUUACCACUAUUUUACUUGAUUCUCAAUAUGAGAAUAUUUUAUGAAUAUUUCACUAAAAUCUAUUCAAGGAAUUCAAAAGGACUCUCCUGCAGAGCAGAAUAUUUACAUUAUUAUUUUUUUUUUACAUUUUAACAUGGCAAUUGAAACUUGUUUGAGAGACUCAACUUGGAACUUCAUGACAUAUGAAGGCAGAAUCAUUUUUCUACCUGUCUGAAUGAGCACUUUGUAAGUUUACAUAAAAUUAAGGAUUAUGAUUUCUAAGAUAGGUAUACUUUGCAAAUGUUUCUCUAUAAAAAUGGAAGCCUCUUUCUCAUAGUGCUCACUGUAAGGCUUUCUGUAGGCCUGCUGAUAAGAUUCACUGCUGUUCAGGUACAUAAGAUGUAAUGAAAUUGGAGGCACAUGCUGGGCUUUGUAAAUAAAAUGAGAUUGACCCCCAGCAAUUAUCUCAUUUAUCUGAUUUACAUUGUAAAAUCAGGAUCUACGCUAUUGAUUAGAACAUAAUUAGUUAAUUAUGAACAAGGAAAUACAAAGUUACUUGGAGCUUGAGCACAGCAGGUUGUACUGCUGAAAAAUUUCCAAGGGCAUGAGCAGAUGGAGAUCAGUUUAUUAAAGAACAAAGCAGAUGUGUUUCAGGUAUGGAAAUGUCUAAUCCUUCUCUCAUGCUGUGGAGAGGCACUUGACCUUAUUGGAUAUUUUUAUAUGAAUUGUUUUGCCUCAUCUUUCAUUUUUUUGUUUCCCAUUUAAUCUUGUAAUCUGGCUGCUGCAGACAUAACUAACUGAACUGAUCCCACUCUUGAAGUGACUAUUAAAUAUAGAUUUGGAUUCCAAUACGUUUCCAAUUUUUUAAAAUUAAUUUUUAUGUGUACUUUUAUGUGUAAAUAAUAUUUUUGUCUAUCUUACUACUCAUUCAUUUAUUAUUGGCUGAUAGAGAAAUCUAUAGUGGUGUUAAUGAAAUAGGUUCAAUUCCUGCACAUUAGUCUAUUUGUGAAACAAAAGACAUUUUCUAAUUAUUUUGUAUAGAAACUGCUCAUGUAGGUAAUUUGCCCUAAAAUUGUUGUAAAUUACAAGGAAUAAUAUAUUGUACUUAUUGAUACUAAAUGUUAUUCAAUAUCGGUAGAAUGCAGAAUUUUGUGCAAGCUUGUAUUAUUUGUAAAGUGAUUUAACUCACUGAACACAAUUUGUAUUUUCUCCAUCUAUUAAGAUGUUUAAUUGAAAUAAUUGGCCACUAUUCAAUGAAAUAAUCACUACCUGUUAAUAGAUUUGCAUAGAUGUUUGAGAUGUUAGUGAGAUUUUUAUUUAAGUAAUGAUAAUAUUCAAGACUAAUAUUCUUGAAUGUUCUUGUGUGGAAUUUUUACACAGAAGUGAAAAAGUUGGAAAAUUCAAAACACUAAUUAUCUGAAUAAUUUUUUUUAAGGGGACAGACAUCAUAGUCUGUAUUUUCAGAGUCCAUUUAUUGUUUUGCUUUAUGUAAGCUUAAGGCGUUAUAAGUAAAAUGUUCCAUUGGCAUGAAAAAUAGUGUGAUUAUCACAAUCAACUUGAUCACAAAAGUGUAUUCUCUUGUUCAAGCCUAUGUUAUGAAUUUUGCUUCUUACUCAAGUUUAGCUUAUAAGUGACUAUAAAUUAUUUGCAUAGGAGGUGCACUUAAUUUUUUCAGUUAGGUUUUAAAAAGUAGUUUUAGUUGACUCCUUUAAUGCAAUUAUCCAUUAGAAAUUAGAGAUGUUAAAGAAACCCUUUGGAACGCUGACUUUAGGCCUGUCUCUUAGGCAUAAGAAGAAAUAAAUCAGCUGCUGCUUUUUACUUGUUUGCAUAUUCUCAGUAGUCAGGUAAACACCUGACUUAAUUGCUUGUUAUAUGGAUCAUAGCACAUAUAAAGAUAAAUCGCUUUUCCCUCUUCUUUGUUUAGGGUGCUAUUCUUAAUCAUGUACUAAGUAAGUAUUUACAUACAUAUAGACUAUGUUUAUUUGGUCACUGUAUUUUAAUUAAUGUGUAAAAGACCAUAUAUAUAGCUACUUGUUAUUUACAUCUAUAUUCGUUAUUAAUCUGAUGCCUAGGAAGUUGCAUUUAGUAAGAAUCUAAUUAAUCAGGUUUGCCUUUAUCUUAUAAUUGGGAUUACUUUAUGCUCUGUAGUGUAAUUGUGUACAGUGUUUACUAGAGGCUUAAAUGAUACUUCUUUAAGCAUCCAGUUUUCAUUUUAUUAAAAAAUCUUAGUGUUUGUUUACAGGUUAGUUUUAUAUUCUCUUUUAAUAUUUUAAGACAUUGCUUUCCUAUUUAAUAAUGUGCUAUUGGCAUAAUAGUCUGUUUUUAUGACAUAGACGUUUGUGUUAUUUAAUAAAGUAUAUUGUCUUAUAUCACUAUACUUUUGUGGGUCAGUGAUUGCUUUUGCAAAUGUUUUUUAAAAACAUUUUAUUCACUGUUUAUUUUGAUAAGUUGACUAUGUCCUAUAUUAUGUGCUGCAUGUCUUUCCAAGUUUGUGUAAGAAAUAAAGGUAGAAACCUUAAAUAAAAUUGGUCAAUAACUACUUUAACUCCAUUGCAGCUUAUAGAUGCUUAUGAGUUUUUGGUUUUUGAGUUUUUUAAAUCGUCUAAAUUUGCAACAUAGCCAGAGUUUGUUGGGUGACAGAAUUUGAUAAAGAUUACAAAGUGUUAUGUGUGCAUAAAAUUAAUAAGCUGCUAUUUUGGCCAUCCACAUUGUUCUUUGAUUUCUUGGGUUCUUAAUAGUAUCUCUUACAUUUGUCUGUAGUUUAUUAAUUCUCUCAAGUUCUGCUAGAGUUCACUUGUGUUUAUCAGGAUGUUUCUGUGCUUAGCACAUAAAGCUAUAGAUUGUUUCAAUUCAAUAUUCUAACGUAGAAGCAGCCAGAUUUUUUCACAUUGAAAUAAUUUGAGACCUCUUUACAAAGAACUUGUAUUUGUAUAUUUAUUUAUCAACAAAACUAUUGACUUCAAGAUUGGCUCUUUUUUUCCCUCUUUUUUGGAUUUUGGCAGUUCCUAAGCAUACUAACUACUUCUUUUUGCUACUUAGUCUUGAAGCUGCAGCUUUUAUUUACUGUUGAGUGAGCUAGAAGUUCAGAGAACUUCCCUAUUAUCCCUAAUUCUGACAAGCAAAUCCUUUUUCCUUUGGAAUGCAUCACAAAUACAUGAGAGUUGCACAUGUCGACUAAGUAAUUCUGAAUGGUAUCACUAAUGAAGGACCCAGACAGCAAGGAUUAGGUCAUUUCUAAAUAGCAUAUAUUUGUUACUGUCUUCUGAUAACUUUCUGUUACUCUUUUCACUAGUUCUUGAGCUGAAAGAUAAUUUGAUUUUACAAGUAGUUGAAAUCAGCAACAGAUUGGAACUGUAUCAGUGCAGCAAACUUGUUCUUAGUUUAUCAGCUGGACUUUCAUAGCUAUAGAAACAAGAAUUAUUUAUGUACAUUAAGGUGAUAAAUAAUGAAUUAUAAUUCAUGUUCAUCAUACUUGCCUCAAGUUAUACACUAGAAAUCAUAAUUUGAAAAUUAUUAUGACACAGUUAUAAAGAAAAUAUGCAGUAAUUAGGUAGUAAAUUGAUAUGAACUAGGAAGAUGUUAAUACUUCAUCAAGAACUUUGAUUAUUAGCAAUCUGAACUAUAUGGCAUACUACCCAAAAACCUAAAGUUAAGGAAAAAAGACUAUAGUUAACAAACAAAAUUGAGCCUAUUAGUAGAAAUUCUCAUUUUCAUGUAUGUCUACUGUCCAUUUACAUAGCCUCAAUAAGCUUUAGUAUUCUGAUUUCUGAAUCCAUAACAGACUGUUUUUGGGGAAUUUAUGCUUAACCAAACACACUAACAAUAUCAGGAAGCAGUGGCUGAUAGUUUUCAAGCAAUUGAAGACCCUGAAAAUCUAUGAAAAUUGAAUACAAGAAUUUAAAUAGAUCAGCAGACUACUGGUCUACAUACCAAGGACGAAAGGCUGACAUACUGUUAGACGUGUAGCAGCAUAUGUUAUUCUUACUGAUGACCUGAGGUGACAAAUAUAAAUUAUAUUAAAUAUGUUUGUUUGUUUAAAUAAGCAAUGUGAUUAGUUUUAAACUUCUUAUCAAAUAUGAUUAAAACACAGGUUUUUAUGUAUGAAGGAGUACACUUUCAGUUAUUUACAAGUCUCAAUCUUCUCAUGAACUCAGGAAUACUUUGAAGAUUUCUAUAUCCAUAUGUUUAAUUGAAAUUUUGGCUAAUGAAAGGUAAAUAUAUUGUAUUGAGAAAAAAAGAGCAUAAAAUUAUGUGGGCUUGCCAGUUAGUCCGUUGAUGUCACAUUUGAAGUUAGCUUAUAUUACUUGUUAUUCUUACUUAAUGCCAGAACAACAGAUAUUUGAACAUUUAAAUUGCUUUUAAAUAUAUUUUUAGUUAUGUGUUAAGGUCAUAGUAAGUAAAGUACUGUUGGUACUAUUUGACUUUAUCUGUUCCUGUAGCUAGAACUGUCAUAGUAAGCAUUUUUUAAAGUCUUGAGUCUAAGAAGUUUUUGGAAAAGUACUUAAGCUUAUUUUAUUCAUAAGGAGAAAGUUGUAGAGGAAGAAAUACAUAAACUUAGGACAUUCAAUUGCAUUUUAAACUUCUUUAUACCUGAAUAACAUAGCUAAGUUGCUUAACUUUUCUGAAACUCUCAGUCCCAAAAGGAGUUUUUGGGAGACUGAAUUUUUGUAGCAUCAUAUGAAUUUCUACUAAAAAAUGUAGAUUUACAUUCCCUUGUAUUAUGACGGUUUCUCUAAGUUAAUUGUUUCUCAUUGUGUGUUGUUUAUGUAAGAAGAGCUUCUGCCUCUUUUUUCCUAAAAGGUUAUUGAAUAGUAAUUUUCAACUUUAUUUGAGUAAUACAUGUUCUAUAAAUUUUUCUGCUUGGUUUCUUAAUCGUAGAUUUCUUGACAUUUGAAGUUUUAAAUUGGUGAAAGAUUAAUAAAGAAAAUCUGACAGAUUGGUUGAGAAAGUGUUAUUGUUUAAUUUUUUUAAAAAAGUAGUGUGAAAUGAGGAAUGCAAUCCCUUUUAUAAGGUGUAUACUUUUUGUUAUUUGUUGUUAAAUUUUGGUCUUGUUAUUCCAACUGAUGCAAAAUUCUUUUUACAAAGCACUGAAAUAAUACAGAUUUUUCUUCAUUGUCAGCAGGAUGAGAUUGUCUGAAACGAAGAAUAGGUGUGAUGAAUGCAGACUCUGCUACCAUUUUGGCUGUUUGGAUCCUCCUUUGAAAAAGUCCCCUAAACAAACAGGCUAUGGAUGGAUAUGUCAGGAGUGUGAUUCUUCAUCUUCCAAGGAAGAUGAAAAUGAACCUGAAAGAAAAAAUAUAUCUCAGGAGCUCAGCAUGGAACAGAAAAACCCAAAGAAAUAAAAGAUUUUCUGUAGUGUUUUUGAAACGUUUGCAGCUUAUGUAAUAACAGAUAAAAUUUCUAAUUGUAAAAUGUUAAAUUGUAAAAUCUAAUUUGCAAAAUGUUCUCAAUAAAGUUAUUCAAAAUGAAA